UUUCAGAUGUCUCCAUAAGUCCACCGGAUGUUUAUGGUUUAAUCCACAAAGAUGUGUAGCUGUAAUUAUGGCUACUUUCAAGCUGCACAACUUCUGCAUCGACAACAAGGUUGCACCACCACUAGAGGAAGCAGUGGUUGAUCAUGUUGAUGAAGAAAACAAUCCUGUAGUCAGACAGUGUCAGGAUGGGUGUGCGACUAGGAGUAAGCUGAUUACUGAAAGAUUUACAUAGGCUGUCAAGCCUUUCCCUCUGUACAACCAAGUGCUCCUCUGAUAUGCUGAGCAUCCUCUUUUGCACAUCUAUCAGCUCUUUGAGGGCAUCUGCUUUGGCUGUCUCAACAUCAAUUAUUGAGGCAAUGUGCUUCGGUGGCUGCUGUUGACUCAUUGAUGAAGCCUCAUCACUGCCAGUGUUCCCACACAUUAAGAUAGGACCUGCAAGUUUGAUGAAAUUAGGUUACAUCAGUACACAUGGUAAUUUCAUAUAUCUGAGAUUGGUAAACUGUAAGUCUACCAGGUGUUUCAAGGGUCUGUGUCUCUUCACUUGUGAUGAUUGUAUCAAAGAAGUCCACUGUGGCAAGGUCACCUUCAUUCAAUGCGUUGAGUGUAGGGAAAGCUGAAAAUGUUAUGAGUUCUUAUGAAAUAAUCAUCUAUGUCCAUGUAAAUCAAAACUGUUACCAGUGUUUAUUUCAAUACUCAGUGUUUGAAAAUACAUCCAGUUGAUGAAAAUAGUCAAUCAACAUGAAAGUUGUUUUGUAUUUUGAAUAUAUUGUGAAAUUAAUUGAAAACAAACACUCACUUUCAGCAGGGGAGAUCACUCUCAACCGUAACUACGGACAUAAUUGGGUCUCCCACACUAAAGAGUUCAACCUUAGUGAAGGUUGCCGCUAAGUAUCCUGUCCACGUUAAGGUUGUCCUAAGGUAGUUUUGUGCAACGG